GGAUCAUUAACGCAUUCGCAGCAUGCUCGCUGUGACUUGCAAACGAAAAAACACACGUCCAAAACAAGUAACGAAACACUGCCCGCGUGCAGCGGCGGCAUGAAGCCGACGCCGCGCGGGUCCGUCCGCUCCAAUAUUUUCGGGGUACCUACCAAAAAAAAUUUACAAAAAUUUUGUGAAUUUGUUGUCCUCGAUGCGACCCACGGUGACGGCUUAGAGCCCGUGCGCUCGCCGGGUCGCUGCGGUUCAAAGAGUGGCCGGCUCGCCGGCGACCGCCCCGACGUCCGAAAAAAACACACACUCGUCCAGUCCGAUAAGAGAAUCCCGGGGUACCUGUGCCCUUCUUGCUCGAUCCUGCUCGAUGGAGGCGCGCUCGCCAUCCUUGGGUCGGCACGCUUGGGCGGGAGCUCCAAACGCUCGUUUUUUGGCCGCGACGGUUCAAAGAGCCGACCGUGCUCGUGUCGGUCGCCGCCCCGGGUCUCUCUUUUUUUUAUUCUUUCACAUAUCAAAAUUUUCAUUUGGCCGAUAAAAAAAGUGGCGGUCGCUUGCAUUUGCUUUUGUGCUUGCCCACCACGAACGAAUGACAAACAAAUAACUUUGAGCGGUGGAUCACUCGGCUCGUGCGUCGAUGA
rnacentral:misc_RNA from 1 species